rnacentral:rRNA from 1 species
ACACAUGCAAGUCGAACGGCAGCGCGGGGCAACCUGGCGGCGAGUGGCGAACGGGUGAGUAAUGUAUCGGAACGUACCCAAGAGUGGGGGAUAACGUAGCGAAAGUUACGCUAAUACCGCAUACGAUCUAAGGAUGAAAGCAGGGGACCGCAAGGCCUUGUGCUCCUGGAGCGGCCGAUAUCUGAUUAGCUAGUUGGUAGGGUAAAGGCCUACCAAGGCGACGAUCAGUAGCUGGUCUGAGAGGACGACCAGCCACACUGGAACUGAGACACGGUCCAGACUCCUACGGGAGGCAGCAGUGGGGAAUUUUGGACAAUGGGCGCAAGCCUGAUCCAGCAAUGCCGCGUGAGUGAAGAAGGCCUUCGGGUUGUAAAGCUCUUUUGUCAGGGAAGAAACGGUAGAGGCUAAUAUCCUUUGCUAAUGACGGUACCUGAAGAAUAAGCACCGGCUAACUACGUGCCAGCAGCCGCGGUAAUACGUAGGGUGCAAGCGUUAAUCGGAAUUACUGGGCGUAAAGCGUGCGCAGGCGGUUUUGUAAGUCUGUCGUGAAAGCCCCGGGCUCAACCUGGGAAUUGCGAUGGAGACUGCAAGGCUUGAAUCUGGCAGAGGGGGGUAGAAUUCCACGUGUAGCAGUGAAAUGCGUAGAGAUGUGGAGGAACACCGAUGGCGAAGGCAGCCCCCUGGGUCAAGAUUGACGCUCAUGCACGAAAGCGUGGGGAGCAAACAGGAUUAGAUACCCUGGUAGUCCACGCCCUAAACGAUGUCUACUAGUUGUCGGGUUUUAAUUAACUUGGUAACGCAGCUAACGCGUGAAGUAGACCGCCUGGGGGAGUACGGUCGCAAGAUUAAAACUCAAAGGAAUUGACGGGGCACCCGCACAAGCGGUGGAUGAUGUGGAUUAAUUCGAUGCAACGCGAAAAACCUUACCUACCCUUGACAUGUCAAGGAAGUCUGGAGAGAUCUGGGAUGUGCCCCGAAAGGGCAC